rnacentral:rRNA from 1 species
GACGAACGCUGGCGGCGUGCUUAACACAUGCAAGUCGAACGAGACGAUUGAAAGCUUGCUUUCGAAAGUCGAGUGGCAAACGGGUGAGUAACGCGUAGACAACCUGCCUUUGAGAUGGGGACAACAGUUCGAAAGGACUGCUAAUACCGAAUGUUGUAUAUUUUCCACAUGGAAGAUAUAUUAAAGAUGGCCUCUAUUUAUAAGCUAUCGCUCAAAGAUGGGUCUGCGUCUGAUUAGCUGGUUGGUGGGGUAACGGCCUACCAAGGCGACGAUCAGUAGCCGGUCUGAGAGGAUGAACGGCCACAUUGGGACUGAGACACGGCCCAGACUCCUACGGGAGGCAGCAGUGGGGAAUCUUCCACAAUGGACGAAAGUCUGAUGGAGCAACGCCGCGUGAGUGAAGAAGGGUUUCGGCUCGUAAAGCUCUGUUGUCGGGGACGAAUGUGCAGUAUUUGAAUAAAGUACUGCAAUGACGGUACCUGACGAGGAAGCCACGGCUAACUACGUGCCAGCCGCCGCCGUAAUAC